AGAGCGAACGCUGGCGGCAGGCCUAACACAUGCAAGUCGAGCGCCCGUAGCAAUACGGGAGCGGCAGACGGGAUAGUAACACGUGGGAACGCGCCCUUCGGUUCGGAAUAACUCAGGGAAACUUGAGCUAAUACCGGAUACGCCCUUACGGGGAAAGAUUUAUUGCCGAAGGAACGGCCCGCGUCCGAUUAGCUAGUUGGUGAGGUAAUGGCUCACCAAGGCGACGAUCGGUAGCUGGUCUGAGAGGAUGACCAGCAUCACUGGGACUGAGACACGGCCCAGACUCCUACGGGAGGCAGCAGUGGGGAAUAUUGGACAAUGGGCGCAAGCCUGAUCCAGCCAUGCCGCGUGGAUGAUGAAGGCCUUAGGGUGUAAAGUCCUUUUAACGGGGAAGAUAAUGACGGUACCCGUAGAAUAAGCCCCGGCUAACGUUCGUGCCAGCAGCCGC
rnacentral:rRNA from 1 species